rnacentral:lncRNA from 1 species
UCAUUCAUUCAAAUUCAAGUUACAUUACACAUCAAUUGUCAUUGUCACAUCAGAUUACAUUGUUACAUUAAGCUAUAUUAUUACAUGCUCCUAAAAAUGUAACAAAAUACAACCAAAAACAAAUAACUACAACUUCUAGAAACAUCAUCUUCUUCCUUAGACUCUUAACCUUUUUUCUUCAUAUUUUCAAUAUCUUUUGAACACAUAUGAGUGUCAUAUUCCUUUCCAAAUUCUUUCUC